rnacentral:rRNA from 1 species
GACGGGGCCCGCACAAGCGGUGAAGCAUGUGGUUUAAUUCGAAGCAACGCGAAGAACCUUACCAGGUCUUGACAUCCCCUGACAACCCGAGAGAUCGGGCGUUCCCCUUCGGGGGACAGGGUGACAGGUGGUGCAUGGUUGUCGUCAGCUCGUGUCGUGAGAUGUUGGGUUAAGUCCCGCAACGAGCGCAACCCUCGACCUUAGUUGCCAGCAUUCAGUUGGGCACUCUAAGGUGACUGCCGGCUAAAAGUCGGAGGAAGGUGGGGAUGACGUCAAAUCAUCAUGCCCCUUAUGACCUGGGCUACACACGUGCUACAAUGGGCGGUACAAAGGGUCGCGAACCCGCGAGGGGGAGCCAAUCCCAAAAAGCCGCUCUCAGUUCGGAUUGCAGGCUGCAACUCGCCUGCAUGAAGCCGGAAUCGCUAGUAAUCGCGGAUCAGCAUGCCGCGGUGAAUACGUUCCCGGGCCUU